rnacentral:rRNA from 1 species
CAGUUGGAAACGACUGUUAAUACCGCAUAAUAUCUGUGGAUUAAAGGUGGCUUUCGGGCUGUCGCAGAUGGAUGAGCCUGCGUUGGAUUAGCUAGUUGGUGGGGUAAGGGCCCACCAAGGCUACGAUCCAUAGCUGAUUUGAGAGGAUGAUCAGCCACAUUGGGACUGAGACACGGCCCAAACUCCUACGGGAGGCAGCAGUGGGGAAUAUUGGACAAUGGGGGCAACCCUGAUCCAGCAAUGCCAUGUGUGUGAAGAAGGCCCUAGGGUUGUAAAGCACUUUAGUUGGGGAGGAAAGCCUCAAGGUUAAUAGCCUUGGGGAGGACGUUACCCAAAGAAUAAGCACCGGCUAACUCCGUGCCAGCAGCCGCGGUAAUACGGGGGGUGCAAGCGUUAAUCGGAAUUACUGGGCGUAAAGGGUCUGUAGGUGGUUUGUUAAGUCAGAUGUGAAAGCCCAGGGCUCAACCUUGGAACUGCAUUUGAUACUGGCAAACUAGAGUACGGUAGAGGAAUGGGGAAUUUCUGGUGUAGCGGUGAAAUGCGUAGAGAUCAGAAGGAACACCAAUGGCGAAGGCAACAUUCUGGACCGAUACUGACACUGAGGGACGAAAGCGUGGGGAUCAAACAGGAUUAGAUACCCUGGUAGUCCACGCUAUAAACGAUGAGUACUAGCUGUUGGAGUCGGUGUAAGGGCUCUAGUGGCGCAGCUAACGCGAUAAGUACUCCGCCUGGGGACUACGGCCGCAAGGCUAAAACUCAAAGGAAUUGACGGGGACCCGCACAAGCGGUGGAGCAUGUGGUUUAAUUCGAUGCAACGCGAAGAACCUUACCUGGUCUUGACAUCCUGCGAACUUUCUAGAGAUAGAUUGGUGCCUUCGGGAACGCAGUGACAGGUGCUGCACGGCUGUCGUCAGCUCGUGUUGUGAAAUGUUGGGUUAAGUCCCGCAACGAGCGCAACCCCUAUUGAUAGUUACCAUCAUUAGGUUGGGUACUCUAUUGAGACUGCCGCUGACAAGGCGGAGGAAGGUGGGGACGACGUCAAGUCAUCAUGGCCCUUACGACCAGGGCUACACACGUGCUACAAUGGGUAUUACAGAGGGCUGCGAAGGUGCGAGCUGGAGCGAAACUCAAAAAGGUACUCUUAGUCCAAGGG